GCGAAGCCUGAUGCAGCCAUGCCGCGUGUAUGAAGAAGGCCUUCGGGUUGUAAAGUACUUUCAGUUGUGAGGAAGGGGGUAGUGUUAAUAGCGCUAUCUCUUGACGUUAGCAACAGAAGAAGCACCGGCUAACUCCGUGCCAGCAGCCGCGGUAAUACGGAGGGUGCGAGCGUUAAUCGGAAUUACUGGGCGUAAAGCGCAUGCAGGUGGUUCAUUAAGUCAGAUGUGAAAGCCCGGGGCUCAACCUCGGAACUGCAUUUGAAACUGGUGAACUAGAGUACUGUAGAGGGGGGUAGAAUUUCAGGUGUAGCGGUGAAAUGCGUAGAGAUCUGAAGGAAUACCAGUGGCGAAGGCGGCCCCCUGGACAGAUACUGACACUCAGAUGCGAAAGCGUGGGGAGCAAACAGGAUUAGAUACCCUGGUAGUCCACGCCGUAAACGAUGUCUACUUGGAGGUUGUGGCCUUGAGCCGUGGCUUUCGGAGCUAACGCGUUAAGUAGACCGCCUGGGGAGUACGGUCGCAAGAUUAAAACUCA
rnacentral:rRNA from 1 species